UGUAGGAGAUAAUAAGGUUAAAAUCCAAAAUAUAUACAAUGCCAAAAUCACAGUAUGAUACAACCACAACGUUUUCCCUUACCCUAACUAUGUGGUUUUCUUGCUUGAACCUAACUGUAGACAUUUGCGUGGCGUACAAAUGACACGCAAAAAGGAUAAAAUGUGUACUCGUGACACGCAGAAUGUCCAUCUGUGUGUGUUUGU